AGAAAUUAUUAUUAAAUUUCGUGCCAUAUCAAACGUGUUGGGACUUUUGCCAGAAAUCUUCAGUUGGAAAAUACGCAAUGUUAGGUUGUAGCGUUUACCAUGUUUUUCAUACAAAUGUGCAGAAUACUGAACAAAUUAAGUUGACCUAAUCUAGGAGCAGCCUUACUCAGUUUGUUGGAGAGUUAACUAAUAUAGGUAAUGUGUUAAUUUGGCAGGCAUUCCAUAGUUUUAGCCAUGUGUAUAUAUUAUGAGAGGUCGUGAUAUGAACACACCUGUUGUAUUACCACUAUCUGUAGAUAACAUUGUGGGCAUUGAUAAUUUAGAAUAUGGCUUCUGGUUUAAGUGGGCUAUAGUGCUGUGUAGUCUGGUAGGAGAUUACCACCGUUUCAGGGCCUCUGAAAUGGUGGUCAACUCCUACCAGACUACAAUCCAGAAGAUGGCUGUUUCCAAACCCACCACCAUGAGAACCUCAGACCCUACAUUGCUAUUAUAAUUCUCUGAUGAUGUUUAUUUUCACUGCAACAUAUGUUAAUUUAAGCACAAAAUGAAUAACUUUACAAAAUUAUCCCUAAAGAAAUAUAAUCAAGUCCAAACAUACAAGCUUUUGGCAACCAUAAAUGAACUAAAAAAAGUAUUUUAAAAAAGACUACACAAGUAAUGAUGGUUGUUAACAAAUCUCUGUACAUUUGUAACAAGAAUUAAUAUGUUCAUAAAGAUAGCCAGAAGUAAUUGAGAUCAAAGAUUGUCAGGGCAGUGAAGAUGUCACUUGCGGUCUUGUAGGUGUUUACCACUGUUGCAAAAGAACAAACUGCCUUCCACUUCAACCCUGAUUAGUAACCAAUGAGUUAUUUGUAUACAGAUAUAUGAUUUUAUAAACGUGUGUAUAUUUGGUGUUGCUGCCUUUUAAUUGUAGUUUUUCAUUCUAGUCUCCUGCCAGUUCUUUGAAUUCCAUGGAUUUAACCACAUCAGCUCUUCAAUUUAUUUUCAUAUGUCCAUCCUUUUUUCCACUUCACUUGUUUCCACUCCAACAUCCUUUUUGGCUAUCAGUCAUCCUGCAUUUGUAUGUGUGUCCAUAUCAUGCUACUUGCCUUUCUUCAGAGUGAGGAAAAACAAUCAAUAGUUUUCAUUUUUAUUUUUAAAUGUCUUGAUUUUGUAAGACACUUGUAGUUCAAGACAAGGGUAGAAGGAAAUAGGUUGGCCUUGCCUACACCCUUUGCAAAAGCAGAAUGAAACGCAGUCCCUUUCCUGAAGAACCAGGCACUAGAAAGACUGUCUAACAGUCAAACAAGGAGGGGGUAUAAAAUGGAUCUAGUACAUGUCUUAAGACUCAAAAAUGAUCUACUCGAAGUUAACAAACAGAAUUUAUAGUGAAGUAAUGAAAUGUUUCCAUUUCCAUAGUAUUUUCUUGUUAUGUGCUGCUUAUAGUUUAGUUUAGUUCCUGUAACUCAACUAAACUAUACUACAGACUACGUUGCCUAAUAACAGUUUUUUUUUUCCUCCUGCUGACUGCCGGUUACUGGGUUGUGAGUGAUUAUGAGUGCGGGAAAGAAAUAAUUUGUGUUGAAGAGAGAUGCCAAUUGUACAAGAUGCUAACAUAUUGUGACAAAGAAACAAACAGAAAUUUAAUUUAUAUAAAAAUUAAUCAUAAAAUAAAGGUCUGUGAUGCUGACACAUGACAAGGACUUGGUUUCAUCACCAUCUGCUGUAACAGCGAGCGACUACUGACACACAGCUGUAUGAAGCAGGUCCAUAUGAAGAGGAUCCUUCCAUCCUUUUCUCCGACUGGGACCUGUUCAUAUACGUUCUU